CGCUGCGGUCCACGCUUGCCCCAGCAAGGUGUCUGGUGACUGAUGACCCGGUCUGCGUCCUUAAGAGGGCCGGGACGUGCAAGUUGUGAAGAUAACAGGGGUGAGCAGUUUCUCUUCAACACCAAGAGCCCGUUCAUUUCAGCUUUGAUUUCUGCCUCAAGGACUUUAAUUCCUAAAGGACCAAGGGAAGGAAGGAGUUCCAUUUGCUGAGGCUUCUCAAGGCCGACCAGGGGUAUAGAUCCUGCCUGUUCAAGGACUGGAACUCUCAACCUGCUAAAUCUUGGGUAGACAUAAGGAGGUUUGAGUUUGGAGCUCGGAGGAUUAUCAUUCUUUGGCAAUCUGAAGAAGGGAUGUUGUUACUCAGGACUCAAAACUGUAUGAACAGUAAAACACACAUCAGAUCUCUAUAUCCAGUCCUGGAAUCAGCACCAAAUCUAGGACUUUUCUCCACCAUGAAGUUGUUAAAAGGAAAAGUAGUGACAAAGUCACUGCAAAUGAAGGGAGAAAAUGGACAAACAGCCUAUCAGGCUAUCUGCAGCAAAACAAAACAAAAAACCAACCAACCUCUCCCCACCCCCAAAUGGCUAUAGUAUUCUACCUGAAAAAACAAUUAAACCAAUGGCAAGCUGG